GACGUAGGGUGCAAGCGUUGUCCGGAUUUACUGGGCGUAAAGAGCGCGUAGGCGGUCCGUUAAGUGUAGAGUGAAAGCUCCGGGCUCAACUCGGAAAUUGCUCUGCAUACUGGCGGACUCGAGGAUGGAAGAGGUCUGUGGAAUUCCUGGUGUAGCGGUGAAAUGCGUAGAUAUCAGGAGGAACACCCAUGGCGAAGGCAGCAGACUGGUCCAUAACUGACGCUGAGGCGCGAAAGCGUGGGUAGCAAACAGG
rnacentral:rRNA from 1 species